GACGUAGGUGGCGAACGUUAUCCGGAAUUAUUGGGCGUAAAGGGUGCGUAGAUGGCUUGAUAAGUUAGCAGUGGGAAAUCGAGGCUCAACCUCGUGGAAGCUGGUAAUACUGUCAGGCUCGAGUGCAGGAGAGGUUAACGGAACUCCAUGUGGAGCGGUAAAAUGUGUAGAUAUAUGGAAGAACACCAAUUGCGAAGGCAGCUCACUAAGCAGCGAUUGACGCUGAGGCACGAAAGCGUGGGGAUCAAACAGG
rnacentral:rRNA from 1 species